AUUGAACGCUGGCGGCAUGCUUUACACAUGCAAGUCGAACGGUAACAGGCCUUCGGGUGCUGACGUGUGGCGAACGGGUGAGUAAUGCAUCGGAACGUACCCAGAGGUGGGGGAUAACGCAGCGAAAGCUGUGCUAAUACCGCAUGUGAUCUGAGGAUGAAAGCGGGGGACCGAGCAGCAAUGUUUGGCCUCGCGCCUUCGGAGCGGCCGAUGUCGGAUUAGCUAGUUGGUGGGGUAAAGGCCUACCAAGGCGACGAUCCGUAGCUGGUCUGAGAGGACGACCAGCCACACUGGGACUGAGACACGGCCCAGACUCCUACGGGAGGCAGCAAUGGGGAAUUUUGGACAAUGGGCGCAAGCCUGAUCCAGCAAUGCCGCGUGCGGGAAGAAGGCCUUCGGGUUGUAAACCGCUUUUGGCAGGAACGAAACGGUGUCCGCUAAUACCGGGCGCUAAUGACGGUACCUGCAGAAUAAGCACCGGCUAACUACGUG
rnacentral:rRNA from 1 species